GCCGCCAUGAUGAAGGGAGCACUGCUUGUACUGGCCUUGCUGGUGACCAGAGAGCUGACCUUCAAGACAAGUGAGGCGGAAGCCUGCCCUGUGUUUUAUGAAGUCCUUAGUGCUGUGAUCCUUGGACUCCCAAGUAAAGCAUUGAACGAAACCUUGGAUUCGAUUGAUUUAGCAUCAGUGAAGCUGAAAAAGCAGCUGCUGAAAAAAUCCGGCAGUGCUUUGUUGAAGCAGGACCUGAGAACAGGCUUAUUGAUCUGAAAUUUAAGCUGUCCAUCAUCUUCAGUAAUGAUUGCAUUGGCUAUAAAUUGUCCUUGGUGGUGAAUGGUGUUAGAGGAUUGGCUUCCAAUCUGCUAUCUUUGGUGUGAUAAGCUCUGCCAGUUGUGCCGGGUCUGCACUUGAUCUUCCUGCCCAGUUCUCCUUCUGUUCCCAAAGCUGGAAUCCAGACACCUUCCCCACCUGGUGUGGCCUCUCUCGGGCUGAAAUAAAAUCACUGCAGCAUUG
rnacentral:lncRNA from 1 species